CGUAAACGAUGAGUGCUAAGUGUUGGAGGUUUCCCCUUCAGUGCUGCAGCAAACGCAUUAAGCACUCCGCUGGGGAGUACGACCGCAAGGUUGAAACUCAAAGGAAUUGACGGGGGCCCGCACAAGCGGUGGAGCAUGUGGUUUAAUUCGAAGCAACGCGAAGAACCUUACCAGGUCUUGACAUCCUUUGACCACUCUAGAGAUAGAGCUUUCCCUUCGGGGACAAAGUGACAGGUGGUGCAUGGUUGUCGUCAGCUCGUGUCGUGAGAUGUUGGGUUAAGUCCCGCAACGAGCGCAACCCUUAUUGUUAGUUGCCAUCAUUUAGUUGGGCACUCUAGCGAGACUGCCGGUGACAAACCGGAGGAAGGUGGGGAUGACGUCAAAUCAUCAUGCCUCUUAUGACCUGGGCUACACACGUGCUACAAUGGGAAGUACAACGAGUCGCUAGGCCGCGAGGUCAUGCAAAUCUCUUAAAGCUUCUCUCAGUUCGGAUUGUAGGCUGCAACUCGCCUACAUGAAGCCGGAAUCGCUAGUAAUCGCGGAUCAGCACGCCGCGGUGAAUACGUUCCCGGGCCUUGUACACACCGCCCGUCACACCACGAAAGUUUGUAACACCCGAAGUCGGUGAGGUAACCUUUUGGAGCCAGCCGCCUAAGGUGGGAUAGAUGAUUGGGGUGAAGUCGUAACAAGGUAACCA
rnacentral:rRNA from 1 species